UUGUUGUUUGUGAAGAAGGAUAGAGGUAGUAACUGGCCUUUAUUUGACGGUAAUCAACCAGAAAGUCACGGCUAACUACGUGCCAGCAGCCGCGGUAAUACGUAGGUGGCAAGCGUUGUCCGGAUUUAUUGGGCGUAAAGCGAGCGCAGGCGGAUUGAUAAGUCUGAUGUGAAAGCCUUCGGCUCAACCGAAGAACUGCAUCAGAAACUGUCAAUCUUGAGUGCAGAAGAGGAGAGUGGAACUCCAUGUGUAGCGGUGGC
rnacentral:rRNA from 1 species